GGCGUUUGUUGUCUAGUAUACACGUGCUACGAAAUGUCAACUGCAAACACGUGGUCUCUUGAGAGGAAUUUACAUUAUCAAAAAUUUACAAAUUACAGCGUGAUUGUCCUUUCUACAGUGAAUCUUUUUCUUCCGAAAAUUCGUCAACUAAAAAAAAAAAGGAUUGUAAUGCAAAUAAUUAAUUUUUCUUCCUACAAAAUGGUGAAAAUUAUUAUUAUUUUUUUUUUUAAAUCAUUGACCAGUAAAAAGUUUCGAUAAAAAUUUAUAUUUAUUUAUAGUGAAUCAUCGUUGUAAUUUUUUUUUUGUAUUAAUUUCAGAUCUGGCUUUCAAUGCAAUAAUUUUUUUUUUUUUUUUUCAGAAAACUUUCUUUUAUACAUUUUGCGGGGCGCCAGGCAAGGUUGUUUGCCUGACUCGUUCACCUGGCUCCUUUUAUAGAAAACGUAUACACUUCCCCCCUUGAGUUCUUUGCAAGCAGGAAACUGCAGGGACGACGAUUUUUAUAUAUGGAAGCGACAAGAUGCGAUCAUCGGCACCGAGGCGUAAUGUGUAUAAGCGGAAGCGGAAAUUAAGCCGUCGAAGGGCAUACACAUUAUGAAAUGUCUCUAUAUAUUCUUGGCUGAUUUCCAAAUAUGUGCAGCUAAUAAACUUUUGUUGAGAGUUUUAAGUCUCAAUUAUGGAAUAUUUUACAAAAUAUAAUAAGUUGAUUGCAAAAUCAGAACGCCAUUUGAGUCGCGGAAAUCUCUUUUAAAAGUACCAGAAAAAUUUUUAAAGAAAAGAAAAAUGGAAAUUUAUUAUACUAAAUAGUUUCAAAAAAAAUAUGGAAUAAAAAAAGAGAUAAAAAAUUUCUUUUUAAAUUAAUUAAAAAAUUCGAAUUUUUAUAAGAAUUAAUCGAACUGAAUAAAAAAAGAAAAAAAAAUAGAGGGAUCUCGAAAAGUUGUAGGAUCAUCGAUAAUGACGAUCGAUGAUCUACGGUGAUCGAUAGAUUCAUUAGGAGAACAUGAACUCUGAGGAGGUAUUCUUGACUAGCAAUGUUACUACUCUCCCAUUUUGUGACGUCAACACCUUCCUGGUAUAAUAUAAGAAAGAGACAGGUUCUUGGAUCAUUGCGGCCAUUUUGACUUUCCAUUUGUUAACACAUGUCGUUACUGAUGGAAUAAUUUUAUUUUCAACAAAGUGAUUUCCAUGACAAAAGAGUUGACGUGUUUAGGAUAUAUAAAGAAGAUAUCAGAAGUUCGAGAAAAAAAAAUUUUUUUUCGGACAAAAAUACAGCUCAAAAACUGUUCAUAUAGAAACUUAUACAGAAUAAUAAUGAUGGGAGUGGCACAGAUUAUAUUAACUUAUCUAUAUAUAUAUAUAUAUAUAUAUAUAUAUAUAUAUAUAUAUCUUUGCAGAUAAAAAAAAAUUGAUUUUAAAAUAUUGUUCGAGAAUUUUAUUUUUGAAAAAUAAUGAAGAGAGAAAUGGUACUCGGAUUAAUUUUCAUUUCAUAUUAAAAAGUAAUAAAAUAAUUUGUGAAUUAUGUGCCAGUAAUUUGACAUGGAUAGUGCUAUUGUAAUUAUUCUUAUGUAACAUAAGAGGCAUACCAGUAGAGAACGAAUUGUAUAAUUCACUUGCCAAAGACGAUCUUAUAUAUAUAUAUACAGCGAGAGACAGUGUAACUAUUAUACAGGUGCACGAGUAUAGAAGCAAUAAAUUAGCACAUUACUUUUUGGACAAACUUCAAAAAUGCCACUUAACAGUGUUAGAUCAAAUUGUCUAAUACCCAAUUCAAUCAAAAUUCAAAUAGGAAUCUCAUAAAAAUUAAUAUUUCUUAUAAGAAAUAAUUUAAUUUUAAUUAUUGUAAAAUAACUAAAAUAAUUUUAUAAAUAUUUCUCUAUAGAGAUUAAUAUUAAUUUUUUGAAAAUAAAAUAGAAUUAUUAGUUAACAAUUAUUUUAAUUAUAGAGAAAAAUGGAAUAAAAUUAAAUAGAAAAUAUAUGGCGUGUUGGCAAAUAUAGCAAGGUGUUUCGACAUUAUUGACACCUUCUUAUUACAGUAUGUCACGUGUGUAUUGUUAAUGUAUAGGAGAAAGGAAAAGAGCAGAGCUUCAAUGUGCUGUCACAUUAUAAUCAUGAGGGUCAUAUGAGUCACGAGGAAACGGAAAAAUUAACAUAAGAAAUGAGAUCUCAUUUCGAAAAAUGAAACGCUGUCAUCAGAUCUAUAUAAAAUAAUAUCUCAAUAUAAAAAAUAUUUAUUAAAUAUAGCAAGAAGCAUAUAUAU